GUGCUUGCUUCGGCAGCACAGGUACCAAAAUUGAAAUGAUACAGAGAAGGUUAGCAUGGCCCCUGCACAAGGAUGACAGGCAAAUUCAUGAAGUGUUCCAUUCCUGA